UCUUCUCUUCCCGACAAAACCAGUACCUUCACUUCGCCUCCCACCAUCAAUCACCUCCAUCCCCGACCAACUCUGAGCACGACCAACCUAUCAUCCAUCCUUUGUAAUCAAUCAACCUCCUGGCCUCUAUCUAUCUCCAUCAUAGCUUCUUCUCCACAUCAGUAACCCUUGAAGCUAGGGUUGAGAGAGAUAAGGCUAGGGUUAGCCUCAAUAACUAAAAGCAAACAUCAAAUCGAGUGGCAGAGAAGAAAUUGCAGAAGGGGUUUGUCGAAAAACACGAAUUAAGUGGGUGGUUGUUCUCUAAUUUUAUCAAUUCUAGUUUUUGAGAAGAAAUUGAUGUAUAAAUAGGGCAACUAUUAUGUAACAAAACAUCCAAUUUUAGUUGGACCAACUAGUUAUCUUAAUUCUAUUGUGUUUUAAUCAUCUUAAUCAUGUUCUAAAUUACUUUUCUAAGGUUUAUAUGAAACCCUAACUCUCUGCUAUGCUAUUCAUAUUGUUUGUGUUACUCUUAAAUGAUUAAAUUGUUCUAGGAUAGGUUCAAUCUUAGUGCUUAAAUGCUUUGCUUUCACAGUGUAUGCCAUGUAUCCAUUGUAGUUAGGAUAAAACUGUGUUGAUUGUGCUGCAGCUUAUGCCUUAGAGACUGUUGUUAAUCCCUUGACUAGUUGUGCUUAAUUAGACAGUUAGUGCUCCGGAUUGAUACUUUAGUUGCGAUUGAACUAUCCAUUGGUGAAACACCUUAGGUAAGUGGUAUACUUGACACUUCUCCCUUAUCUGUCACAAGGAAAAGAGUAAUAUAAUUAGCUGAAUAUGUAUGGUGUGAGUUAGUGGUGGAUUUGACAAUCCUAGUACCUUCAUUCUCAGUGUUCACACCCUGUGUUAUUUGCAUCUUUUACUUCUAUUUACUUUCUGUUGUAAUCCUCACCAACAUCUCGUCGUAUCGACACAAACAAAACCCAUUUUGUGUUACUUAUCAUUGAAUCAGUUCAAUGAAGUUUUAAAAUCACUUCUACACCCACCUUGUCUUUGUGGGAUCGUCAUGUAUUUGCUCUGUCUCCAAUAGACGCUGUGCACUUGCAGUUUGACAUAGUCGUAGGUUUCUUUCAAGUCCUACCAAGUUUUUGGCGCCGCUGCCGGGGACUCGGUGGCGGUGUAGCUGAUUUAAAGUUCCACUUUACUGUUUUUAGUAUGAUUCUUGUAUAUAUGUGUUAGAUUUUCUGCCAUUAUAGUUGUAGCUUGUCUUAUUUCAUAUUAGCUGUAGAAGUUGUUGUAGUUUGAAACUUGUUUCCCUAUCUAUAGUUGCAUCCUGUAACUUAGUUUUAUUUUUGUUAAUCUUAUCUCAGUAGUAUAGUUCAUCUGUUCCUAUAAUUUGCAUCUGUAAUAUAUCUAUCUUAGUUGUAGGUUUUUAUUUUCAGCUUCUCUAGUUACUACAAUCUGUAGCCUGAAUAUUAUAUUCUGUAGCUUGCCAUUACAGUUGAACUGUUAAGCAUUAAUCCAUCUGUGAAUACAAUCAGCAUCUUUUGGUUUUGUUUCGAACGAACACUCCGCAUCCAGUUAAAUGCAAGUUGUAAAUUUCAAUCACCCCAUUCACUUAAACUGCAUCAUUGCCAAACCUGCCUGAAGUUAGUUGCAGUGAUAGUCAUCAAUAUUCUGUAUCUCUCACCUGUGGUGAUUCUGAAACUCCUUUUUGCUGGCAUCUUGUUACCCUGGCGCUUAAAUUAUUCAUGCAAGCAUAAACAUUUCAUAGUGAAGAAUCUGUAAUCUGUGUAGAUAGUUGUACUAGUUCAUUGCUGCUAAAAAUUUGUCAUCAGUCCCAGCAUCCCUGCAUUCCAUAUUACAGAGACCCGUCUCUGAAAUUUCCAAUGUUAGUAUUUUUAUACCUUUGCUUCAAUUGUCCAAUUCUUGGAACUAAAGGAUUUUGUUGAGCUAGCAGGUACUUGAAAUCUCUGCUGCACAAGCUAAAGAAGGAAAAGGCGCAGGACAAUUUGUGGAAUCGCCUAAACCCGGUUUUAUACUUGCGAAAGUACAAGCAAAUCCAAUCAUCCCGAGGAAGCACAACUAAACUACCAGCUAAAUGGCGUUUGCGACAAAAACCAUCCAUAUUGUUACUUGCCGCACCAAAAGAGUUGAAUUAAUUUUGGCUGCCCAUGUAUGCUCGUUUGGAACCACUUAGCCACGUCCCAGCCAGAAGAAGAGAUGUAGAAUAGAGAAUUCCCUAGCCCAAUCACGUGAGCUGCAGUAAGGGGAUGGUGGAUGACGUGGUUCCACCACUUAUAUAUCUAUUUUACGUAUCAACAUAUCAUUCAUCAUCUUAAGGAAUAUUUCGAGUGCCUUAUAACAGCAGUAACCAAUUGGUUUGAGGUUGUUGGUAUCGAUUUAAGAGAGUGACUGGUGGAUUUGAUUUCUGGGGUUUAUUCGCUCUGUGUAUCCAUGGAGCUGACGAAGAAGCUGCUGUUGCAUUAAGGGUUAAUAAAUGGUUGGUGAUAGCCAUGAGUUCUUGGCCUGGAUUGAGUUCGUAUCUGAGAUAUUGAGCUGUAAUGAACGGUGUAGAAUGGAUGAAGUGUUGCAGGCAAUGACAGUGAUGGGUGUUGCCGAGAUUAAGAUGAACUCUGUAUUGAAGUGGGUUUGUGGUUAGUUCACCGAGAAUGGAGAUGGCAUCGAUCUUCUACUCGAACUGAAGUCGAUGGAGUCUGUAGGGUUCUCAGAUUUGAAUAGACGGACUGAAUCUGGUGCAGUCGGACUUUGGUGAUGACGUGAGAAAUGAAGGCACUGCUAGAUGGGUCAAUGGAAUUUAUCUGCAGCUAUUAAGAGAAGGGUUGCUGCCAUGGCCAUGGCUUUACACGAGAGUUAAGAGCACAAAGAACUGUGGUUACGAUGGUGGUGAUAUGUAUGGGCUUUGAGAGCCGGUGAGAGCAGAAGAGAAUGAUAACUGUGGCCAGAAUGAAGUCGGACAGGGAAUAAAUGAUUUGGUUAAGGUCUUAGAAGGCAUGGGAUGCAAUGGGUGUGGUAUGAACUGAAUGCUCCUUUUGAUUAGAGCUGGCGCAGUUACCUGAACUUGUGCACCUGGUGGUAAUCGAUAGAACGAGUUGUUGCCGAGACUUGGAUAGACUGAAGAUUUGAAGCCGAGCCGACCAGCAACACCGAAGCUGUAAAGAAGACACGGAAGUUGGUGCUGUAGACAGGAUUAGUAAAGAAGUGAUGCUCAGUUUGGCAGCAACAAGUUGAGUGCGCUGUUGGACUUGUGGGUUGCUAGAGAUCUCAGUACAUGGAUGAGAAAUAAUUGGCUGUGUUUCAGGGAAAUGUCAGAAAAGAAGUGGUUGGCAGCACUGAAAUUGGGGGAUGUUAGCUGAGUUGGUCUGAGUGGAGUGAGGGUUUGCCGGAACUUGUACAAUGAGUGGUGACGAGAAUCAAAAGUUCAGGGAGAAGACAAAUUGGUGCUGUGGCCGCAGUCUUCUGGAUUUGGAAUGUAAGAAUUGGUACUGGACUGGGCUUUGGCAAUAUCUGCUAAGCCUUAUUUCCUCAACAGAAGCAACCUACUUAAGGAUCGAGAAGAGACAGAGAAGAGGGAAGGCCGGAUUGGGAUUCUUUGGAGGCGGCUGUGGCUGUGUUUUCUUUGCUGUGAGACCGGCUGCAGAGCCGAGAAAAGAGAAAAGAAGACGAACACGGAGCUGCGGCUACAAAGUUGUACAGGGAAACGAAAUAGAGUUUGCAUUUGUGAUUUCCAUUUCCGUUUCGAUUUGAUUUACGAGUGCUUUAUUUCUAUAUGUUUGUGACUUUUGAGAAAGCUAUGUCUUGCUAGAAUUAUGUAACUAGGGUUUAUGGUGAAAACUACUUGGGGUAUUAGGCUUUUUGAAUUGAUUAAUUGAGCAAAAGACCAUUAUGAUUUGAAUAGAUUGAUCUUUGAAUAUUUUUUAUCGA